AGCGAACGCUGGCGGCAGGCUUAACACAUGCAAGUCGAACGGGUAUCUUCGGAUACUAGUGGCAGACGGGUGAGUAACACGUGGGAACGUACCUUUCGGUUCGGAAUAAUACAGGGAAACUUGUACUAAUACCGGAUACGCCCUUCGGGGGAAAGAUUUAUCGCCGAUAGAUCGGCCCGCGUCUGAUUAGCUAGUUGGUGAGGUAAUGGCUCACCAAGGCGACGAUCAGUAGCUGGUCUGAGAGGAUGAUCAGCCACACUGGGACUGAGACACGGCCCAGACUCCUACGGGAGGCAGCAGUGGGGAAUAUUGGACAAUGGGCGCAAGCCUGAUCCAGCCAUGCCGCGUGUGUGAUGAAGGCCUUAGGGUUGUAAAGCACUUUUGUCCGGGAAGAUAAUGACUGUACCGGAAGAAUAAGCCCCGGCUAACUUCGUG
rnacentral:rRNA from 1 species